UACGGAGGGAGCUAGCGUUGUUCGGAAUUACUGGGCGUAAAGCGCACGUAGGCGGCGACUCAAGUCAGAGGUGAAAGCCCGGGGCUCAACCCCGGAACUGCCUUUGAAACUAGGUUGCUAGAAUCUUGGAGAGGUCAGUGGAAUUCCGAGUGUAGAGGUGAAAUUCGUAGAUAUUCGGAAGAACACCAGUGGCGAAGGCGACUGACUGGACAAGUAUUGACGCUGAGGUGCGAAAGCGUGGGGAGCAAACGGG
rnacentral:rRNA from 1 species